CCUACGGGAGGCAGCAGUGGGGAAUCUUGCACAAUGGGCGAAAGCCUGAUGCAGCAACGCCGCGUGCGGGAAGAAGGCCCUAGGGUUGUAAACCGCUUUCAGUAGGGAAGAAAAUGACGGUACCUACAGAAGAAGGUGCGGCCAACUACGUGCCAGCAGCCGCGGUGACACGUAGGCACCAAGCGUUAUCCGGAUUUAUUGGGCGUAAAGAGCUCGUAGGCGGUUCGGUAAGUCGGGUGUGAAAACUCUGGGCUCAACCCAGAGAGGCCACCCGAUACUGCUGUGACUAGAGUGCGGUAGGGGAGCGGGGAAUUCCUGGUGUAGCGGUGAAAUGCGCAGAUAUCAGGAGGAACACCAGCGGCGAAGGCGCCGCUCUGGGCCGUAACUGACGCUGAGGAGCGAAAGCAUGGGUAGCAAACAGGAUUAGAUACCCUGGUAGUCCAUGCCGUAAACGUUGGGCACUAGGUGUGGGUCUCAACCAACGAGAUCCGCGCCGUCGCUAACGCAUUAAGUGCCCCGCCUGGGGAGUACGGUCGCAAGCUAAAACUCAAAUGAAUUGACGGCNGAGACGUGCCGACGGACGACGACGAGGGAGUAGG
rnacentral:rRNA from 1 species